GACGAACGCUGGCGGCGUGCUUAACACAUGCAAGUCGAACGGAAAGGCACUGCGUUUGUGGGGUGCUCGAGUGGCGAACGGGUGAGUAACACGUGAGUAACCUGCCCUUGACUUUGGGGUAACUUCAGGAAACUGGGGCUAAUAUCGGAUAGGAGCUCCUGCUGCAUGGUAGGGGUUGGAAAGUCUCGGCGGUUGGGGAUGGACUCGCGGCUGAUCAGCUUGCUGGUGGGGUAGUGGCUUACCAAGGCUUUGACGGGUAGCCGGCCUGAGAGGGUGACCGGCCACAUUGGGACUGAGGGACGGCCCAGACUCCUACGGGAGGCAGCAGUGGGGAAUAUUGCACAAUGGGAGGAAGCCUGAUGCAGCAACGCCGCGUGCGGGAUGACGGCCUUCGGGUUGUAAACCGCUUUCGCCUGUGACGAAGCGUGAGUGACGGUAAUGGGUAAAGAAGCACCGGCUAACUACGUG
rnacentral:rRNA from 1 species